GAGUUCUACCACCUUUUAGAAGCAGCUGAGGGCCACGCCAAAGAGGGACAAGGGAUUAAAUGUGACAUUCCCCGCUACAUCGUUAGCCAGCUGGGCCUCACACGGGAUCCCCUAGAGGAAAUGGCCCAGUUGAGCAGCUGUGACAGUCCUGACACUCCAGAGACAGAUGAUUCUAUUGAGGGCCGUGGGACAUCUCUGCCAUCUAAAAAGACACCCUCUGAAGAGGACUUCGAGACCAUUAAGCUCAUCAGCAAUGGCGCCUAUGGGGCUGUAUUCCUGGUGCGGCACAAGUCCACCCGGCAGCGCUUUGCCAUGAAGAAGAUCAACAAGCAGAACCUGAUCCUACGGAACCAGAUCCAGCAGGCCUUCGUGGAGCGUGACAUACUGACUUUCGCUGAGAACCCCUUUGUGGUCAGCAUGUUCUGCUCCUUUGAGACCAAGCGCCACUUGUGCAUGGUGAUGGAGUACGUUGAAGGUACUGAGGCAAAGGUGGCCUGGCAUGGAGGCCAAGGCACAAUCUGAGACUUAGCCUUAAACAGGGACCAGCAGCUUUGUACAGAGGUGAAGUUUCAGGGCCCAGCUUUCCAGUCCACCUUUGGCAUUGGUUUCUGCCUCAGGAUCACAGAGACCAUUUGGCCACAGUGGGCACAAAGCUCCCUGCCUCUACCAUGAGAGGCAUUCUGGGAUAGGAUGUAGCAGGCCAGCAGCUAUAGAAUCUUGCACCCCAAAGUCUGCAUGCUUUCUACUGCUGGUAUCAGACAGCAACAGAGGAGGCAGCAGAGCUGCAAAAGCCCAGGAUUGGGUGCUAGGAGGAUUGCAUCCGGACCCUCAGAAGAAAGGAAAGCCAUUAAUUAUCCUG
rnacentral:sRNA from 1 species